GACGAACGCUGGCGGCGUGCCUAACACAUGCAAGUCGAGCGACGAAACAGGGCUUGCCCUGGGGCAAAGCAGCGAACGGGUGAGUAACACGAGGGUAACCUAACCCGAUAACCGGGACAACCCGAGGAAACUCGGGCUAAUACCGGAUGUGAUAACUGGAGUGCGGUUAAGUGCGUAAAGGAAGCUUCGGCCUCCGUAUCGGGAGGGGACGGCGGCCCAUUAGUUUGUUGGUGAGGUAACGGCUCACCAAGACGGCGAUGGGUAGCUGGUCUGAGAGGACGAUCAGCCACACUGGGACUGAGACACGGCCCAGACUCCUACGGGAGGCAGCAGUGGGGAAUCUUGCGCAAUGCGCGAAAGCGUGACGCAGCAACGCCGCGUGGGGGAAGAAGGCCUUCGGGUUGUAAACCCCUUUCAGGAGGGACGAAGGUUCGGCGGUUAAUAGCCGUCCGGACUGACGGUACCUCCACAAGAAGCCCCGGCUAACUACGUG
rnacentral:rRNA from 1 species